rnacentral:rRNA from 1 species
GGCUCAGGAUGAACGCUAGCUACAGGCUUAACACAUGCAAGUCGAGGGGAAACGAUAUUGGAAGCUUGCUUCCGAUAGGCGUCGACCGGCGCACGGGUGAGUAACGCGUAUCCAACCUGCCCAUCACUUGGGGAUAACCUUGCGAAAGUAAGACUAAUACCCAAUGACGUCUCUAGAAGACAUCUGAAGGAGAUUAAAGAUUUAUCGGUGAUGGAUGGGGAUGCGUCUGAUUAGCUUGUUGGCGGGGUAACGGCCCACCAAGGCGACGAUCAGUAGGGGUUCUGAGAGGAAGGCCCCCCACAUUGGAACUGAGACACGGUCCAAACUCCUACGGGAGGCAGCAGUGAGGAAUAUUGGUCAAUGGACGAGAGUCUGAACCAGCCAAGUAGCGUGCAGGAUGACGGCCCUAUGGGUUGUAAACUGCUUUUAUAAGGGAAUAAAGUGAGUCUCGUGAGACUUUUUGCAUGUACCUUAUGAAUAAGGACCGGCUAAUUCCGUG